rnacentral:tRNA from 1 species
GGCUCGGUAGCUUAAUUGGUAAAGUAGUCGUCUAGCAUACAAGAGUACGUGGGUUCGAAUCCCACCUGAGCAC